AAGGAAUUGAAAACUUUUCAACUCGUUAAGUACUCCUACUCGAUUCGGAUCAAAGGAGGAAAAAAAAAACUGAGGCUUCUUUGGUUUUCGUAGGUUAAGAAAAACACCUGACAAAUAAUAAUACCAUCCUUCAAGCCAGCACUAAUAGUAUGACGGUUUAGACCUAUAUAAACAUAUUUUCUAAUAGAAAGCUGCUUAGUUGGGUGAAGAAUUCACUUGCAGCCAGUAACCAGACUCCUAUAGCAUUAAGUCCAUCGCUUUUUGUAGCAUUGUUUUGGCCAAGUUUUGGAACGUGGUAUAAUAGGCUCAAGGAUUUUGAAAUCAUAUUUUGGCGAUGCUAAAGAGAGACAUAUGCUAAAGAGAGACAUAACGUGAACCUACUACUCUUCUUUGGUUUCACAUUGUUAAUGAAAAGGAUUCUAUGUGGGAAUCAAUAAAAAAUAAUAAAAAAAAGAUGGCAGAAAAGAAGUGCGCAGGAGCACAUAUUUGGUGAAAGCGUGACUUUAAUCAAGGGCUAAGUAAUUGAUAAUCGCAAUCAUCCGGCAUUUAAUUUUCUAUGUACAAAAUUGUAGAAAAUGAUACACCGACCUGUUCUCAAAUACAGUGCUAAUAAUCACAUGGUUCGUAGAGGGCGUGAACAGGAGAAGGAGCUGGCUUGUCGAGUUUAAAAUGUGCGUACAGGAAGCCGUAAAGAUCUAUAUUGCAUCUGCUUGCCUUGCUGGUUUUAAAAAGCAAAACAACGCACGGAUUGAUAACAAUAUUUAGACUUUCUGGUUUGCCACCGCUCCUAUAGAAUCUUUAGCCUUUUCAAAUGGAAUCUGAAAGAAUUACUAGGAUGGAGUAACGCAAAAUGAACUUUGAUAUUACGAAGAGAUAGUACCGUUCCGAAUCAACACAGGUUCUUGCAGUUUUGUUGUGGAAACCGUAGAACAUGCAGUGGCUAAUUCGUAAGCCAAUUUUCACAUUUCGCUUACUAAUUUUGCUCUCAAUUAGUAAGCAAAUCCGUAUCGAAGGUAUACAACCACGUUCACCGUUUUCACGUGCACAAAUUCGAGAAAAUAAGCACUCAAUCUUCAGACAUAUAAAAGGAGCAAUACCGUCGCAAUGAGAAACAAUUUCCUCUCUGUUCAACCUAAAUCAGUCAAUCAAUCGAUAUAAAUUCAGUACUAACUGAAUAUCUCUUCUAUAUCAUUUUCAAUAGCGAUUUUUAAUAUGGCUGAUUUAUUUGCUCCUGCUCCUGAACCAUCUACAGAGUUAGGACGUCUCAGAGUUCUUUCUAAAAGUGCUGGUAUUAGAGUUUCCCCUCUCAUUUUGGGAGGAAUGUCAAUUGGCGACGCUUGGUCUGAAAUCCUAGGAUCAAUGAGCAAGGAGCGAGCUUUUGAGUUGCUCGAUGCUUUUUAUGAGGCAGGUGGAAAUUUCAUUGAUACUGCAAAUAAUUAUCAAAACGAACAGUCAGAAGCUUGGAUCGGUGAAUGGAUGGUUUCAAGAAAAUUACGCGACCAGAUUGUAAUCGCCACCAAGUUUACCACUGACUAUAAGAAAUACGACGUUGGUGGUGGUAAAAGCGCAAACUACUGUGGCAAUCACAAGCGUAGUUUGCAUGUGAGUGUGAGGGAUUCUCUCCGCAAAUUGCAAACUGAUUGGAUUGAUAUACUUUACGUUCACUGGUGGGAUUAUAUGAGUUCUAUCGAAGAAGUUAUGGAUAGUUUACACAUUCUAGUGCAGCAGGCAAGGUCCUCUAUUUGGGUGUGUCUGAUACGCCUGCCUGGGUUGUUUCUGCGGCAAAUUACUACGCUACAUCUCAUGGUAAAACUCCUUUUAGCGUCUAUCAAGGUAAAUGGAAUGUAUUGAACAGGGACUUUGAGCGUGAUAUUAUUCCAAUGGCUAGGCAUUUUGGUAUGGCUCUAGCCCCAUGGGAUGUCAUGGGAGGUGGAAGAUUUCAGAGUAAAAAAGCAAUGGAAGAACGGAAGAAGAAUGGAGAGGGUCUGCGUACUUUUGUGGGUGGCCCCGAACAAACAGAAUUGGAGGUUAAAAUCAGCGAAGCAUUGACUAAAAUUGCUGAGGAACAUGGAACAGAGUCUGUUACUGCUAUCGCUAUUGCCUAUGUUCGCUCUAAAGCGAAAAAUGUUUUCCCAUUGAUUGGAGGAAGGAAAAUUGAACAUCUCAAGCAGAACAUUGAGGCUUUGAGUAUUAAAUUAACACCGGAACAAAUAGAAUACCUGGAAAGUAUUGUUCCUUUUGAUGUUGGCUUUCCCAAAAGUUUAAUAGGAGAUGACCCAGCUGUUACCAAGAAGGCUUCACUUCUCACGGCAAUGUCUGCGCAGAUUUCCUUCGAUUAAUCAGAUUUUUUUUUUUUGGUGCGUUUGUGUAAGAAAUAUGCCCUUAUAUAUUCUAUGCUCUCUACUUUUAUACUUUUGAAUAAGCCGUACUUAAAAACAGCUUUUAUCCCUC
rnacentral:sRNA from 1 species